AGGUGGAUAUUCAUGACAUGCUUGAAAAGGAGAUGGCUGAGUUCUUUGAAGCUGUGAUCCUGUAAGGUACAGUGGAAUCAGUUGCAGGGCUGGAGCCUGUAUGAAUCAAAUGAUUUCUCCAGCAGCAAGCUCUUACGUGGAGGUUGCCUUCCCAUGGCCUGACCUGGGCACAGCUGAUGCUCCAUCCGUGAUGCUGGGGCCUUACUUGCAAGCUGAGAAUCAUGCCAGUAAAGCUUAGGAGGAAUCUUUCUGCCUGACAUCAUGCAUCACAUGGGAAGUGAUCAUCUUUCUGGGCUGACCUGUGAAUCCAUGAAGCCUUCUCUAAGGAGCAGGAAUUGGCAGCUCCUUGAUCUCUUUUUUGUGUGGUGACCUGCUGCUGGUGCUGGAGAGAGUCUCUCAGAUAUACAGCACCCACAUACCUCACAGCAAAAAGAAUCAGGAUCCUGGAGAUCAUCUGAAGCUGUGCCGGAGCAGAUGGAUGGAUUAGGUAACACACCAAGGAUUAUUUUACUUUGAUUACUGGCCCUGCUGUUUGAGGAAGAGGAACUUGCCAAG